UAAUAAUAAUAAUAAUUUUAUUUUGCGACAUGAAGUUACAAAAAAAUUAAUGAUUUUUCUGCUUUGUGCACAGUGAAAUAUAACUAAUAAUUUAAACAAGUAAAUUUGAAUAACUAAAUUUUAAGAAUUAAUUAAAAAUUUAAGAAAAAUGAAAAAUUACUCAUUGUAAUGUAAACAUUUAGAAAUGUUCACCGAAAGCUGACCGCAUACGGGCUUAUCGCACUCAACGCAGGAUUUCAGUGUCUUUCGGCGUUUGCGAAUAGGCUGCUGCGCAAAGAAACUUUCGACUGGGAUUUUGGUAGAGUGGUUUCGCAUUAUUUGCUGAUUCGAGACACGUUCUUCGAUCAUCGGCAUUGAUCAUUCUUCUCACAAUUGUCGAAGGAAAAGUCUUCGUCUGUUUGUUUUCUUACAAAGCAUGCUGUUAUUCUCAUAGUAGAUGACAUAAGCAGGCACACCUGCAAUGUCGAGGAUGUUAAAAAAGAAAGCCAGCGGCCAUCUACACGUUCGCUGUUGGGUGGAGUACCUCGUACACAUUUGAUCCAUGGUGUCAACUCAAUUAUUUUUACGUAUAAUGCACUUAUACGCACGAAUUCGCUUACGGGUACCCGGGUACCCUGGGCGGCAGAUAGUGUGAUUUUUUUUGGGUGGCAACACAAGGGUUAACAUAAUAUCUCCUGGUAAGCCGACAUAUUGACUUAGUAAUCAAAACAAAAUACCAGAUUAAUUGAUUUUGCUGUAAUCAAAAAUAUAGAUAAAUCGCACAUAACAGUUGAUUCAUGUACUUACCUUUUUUCUGAUCAUUAUCCUCUACUAAUAAGGCUAUGUGAACAAUCUAUUAAUAUUGAGUAUAUUGAGUACAAAUUAAAUACAAGAAGAGAUAUUGACGAAAGCAUAAGAGAACUCAAUGAUAUAAUACCUAACGCAGUUGUCUAAGCAACAACAAACAAAAACUAUAAGCCGCUUGGUCACAGAAAAAUCAGUAAUAAAAAAAUAAAAAAGCUUGUAAAUGAAAAAAGGCGUGGAAGACGAGAAUGGCAGAUAAUUCGCUACCCUUCCACUCAGCUUCGAUUGAAAUCUUCUCAACGUAAAUUAAAAAAAGCACUUAAACGGAAGGAAAAAUUCAACACCGAAACAAACAUAUUAGGGUGUGCCAUUCUGAGGCAACCUUUUUUUCAACUGGAAAAAAGGCUCAAAACUUUCGAAAAUGUGUAAAAAAAAGUCACUUAAAAGAUGAGCUCUUAAUAUUAAUAUUAAGAGGUGUCUAUUUCAAAUUUUCUGUUUUCCAUAUAAAUUACAUGGAAAAAAAUCAUUUUUUUUGUGGUGGUUAUUGUGCGGAGGUUUUAUAUGUGCCCCGAUGGCUGCCAGUAGGGAUGGUAAACUCGAUCCCGAUUCUACUCGAGAGUCCGCACAAAUAACACCACAAAAAAAAAAUGAUUUUUUUUCCAUGUAAUUUAUAUGGCAAACAGAAAAUUUGAAAUAGGCACCUCUUAAUAUUAAUAUUAAGAGCUCAUCUUUUGAGUGACUUUUUUUUACACAUUUUCGAAAGUUUUGAGCCUGUUUUUCAGUUGAAAAAAAAGGCUGCCUCAGAAUGACACACCGUAAUACAUAUAUAAAGAAGCUAAGCCAAAUUGAAGCAAGUGAAAUUCCCUUCGUAAAGCCCAAAAGUUCAUUAAGUCAACUCUAACAUGCCUAUACUUGGGUGGAAAUUGGGCCCGAAGUGCCUAGGAAAGGUUAAUACCUAAUUGCCCAGAGAACAACUUUAAGCUGUCAAUUUUACCCGACAUAGCGAGCGAGUUGCUUUAGACUUUGAGCACUUCACAUUUUGAAAUUAGUAGAAUCAUAAAAGAUCUUAAUCUAAAAAAGUUUCGAGGAUAUCAUAAUAUUAUCACACAAAUGCUAAUUGCAAUUGUGGUGUGAAGGCCUUUUAUAUAAGAUUAAAAACAUUAUACCUUUAGAAUUGUAUAAAACAUUAGAGUCUUAUUUAAAUAAUAGAAAACUUAUGGUUAAAGUGGGAGAUUUUAUGUCUGAUGAGCGACAGAUAAGAGCUGCACAUUUAAAUUGGCUUUUAAAUAAAAAAUCUACACUUAGCCUAGACAACAAAGUGCUUUUAAAUAAUGCGGUCCCAAAGCCGAUUUGGGUUUAUGGAAUUCAACUAUAGGGUACGAGCUGAGCAAUUAAUAUUGAUACUAUAUAAUACAAAAGUUCCAAUCAAAAACGUUUAGAACAAUCAUUUGCUCGCUAUGGUACAUGCAUAAUGAAAAUAUCCAUAAAGAUCUUGCUAUUCCAAUGGUAAACAAAGAAGUAGAGGACAGCAGAAUGAAAUAUAUAUCUAAGCUCCAAGAGCACUCAAACCAAUUGGCGAAUGCAUUAGUACCAGGGAUAAUAGGAUACCCAUCUUAUUCCAGUGUGAGAGCGCCUCAAAAUAAACGUUUUUUAAAACAUUUUCCAUAGUGGCCAGAUCAAACGAAAUAAGAAUUUUUGGGCAAGUAAAUUAAAAUGCCCAACUGUACUUUCCACACCAUCCAGGAGGUAUGCAAAACGGCGCGUUACCAAAGUUAGUUUUGGGUGCUCGGUUCCCCUUUAGGCCUAUAUCACUCAUUAAAAAUUUAUUUACAUAAAGUAACAAAACAGCAACAGUUCAUUAGUAUACAACGAAAAAAACAAAACUAUAAAUGUAUACAUAUAAGGAUAAAAACAAAACAAUAACAAUUCAUGUAAAAAAUAUAUAAAAAUAUCACAGUGUUAAACGAAUUAUUUACAUAUAUACAAAUGCCUUCAUUUAAAUACCAAAUUCUAAUUUUCGUUAAAAAAAUUGCUUUCUAAUUUUAUAACCUCUUUAUUCUACCUGUUUAAAAAAAUUUUACUUUUUUAUAUUCUAUCGUAAGUUUAAGUUCGCAUAUUGUAACCACUAAAAAAUAAAAAAAAUUUGAAACCUAUAGGUGUGAGACACACAAAAUUUUAUUUUUAAAAUUAGGGAUAGAAAGGUCUUUAUUUAAAAAUUUAUUUUAAUUCUAAUAAAAAGAGCUAUAACUAUUUUUGGGUCACAAUUAUUACAACACAAAAAUGGCUUAACAUUUUUCAUUUUAUUAAGAAGAAUAUUUCCUAUUCCUAUUUUAUGACAAUUACUGUCGAAUUCUUCUAAAAAUCUUGUUUCCAAAAUUUUUACAAAUGCAAUUUAAUCAGGCGGCUUCACUAAAUUGCAUUUGUCUAUUUGAUUUUGAAGCAUGAAGAUGAAUUCGUCCGAAGGAAUUUCAUCUCCUAAAUAUGGUAAAGGCAGGGAACAUGUGUGCAGUUUGAAAAUUUUUAAAUAAAAAUAGCCGCAAAGUAGCUAAACGUAUUUUCUUUCAAAAAAUUAAUUUUUAAACUACUGUCUAAUGUGAUUGAUCUAACGAGGGAGUGUUCAGGCCGUGGUAAACCUUAAAAAUCCUGCCAAGAAAGGUCAUUCAAUAGUGAAUCCUUACAUACAUUACGCAGAACAUUAUUACUAUGUUCCGAAAUUACUGUAGCAUCAGUUUCUAAACGAAGCUCACAGUUUCCUUUUGUUAUGACGUUUACGUAACGUAAGCCCCACGGUUUCCUAAACAAACCAGAGAACAUAUAAGGCGUUACUCUAGUGCCUCCUCUGCUUCGAAUCUGCCCAAAAAAAUUUUCUAAUUUUCUGUCCUGACAUGUCUCGUCUUCAUGUACGGAAAACCUGAGAGUCACAAAAAUCGCCACAAUCGUCUUAAACUGUUAAUAUUUAACAUCCACCGCUUUAUAAAACUAAAAUUUUUGGUUAUGUUGCUUUCUAAAUCGUCUACGACCCGAAUAGUUUUUAGAAUUUUUUCUGCCUCAUUUAAAAACUCUAACUGUUCAGGGGAAACUACAACACUUUUUAGUGGGUACAACAGCCUCAACGAAACUGCUAUUUGAAAUAUCAAAUAAUUUAUUAAAAAACGAAACGAAUUCCGCGGUAUUAAUUAAGCUCAUACUAUUCCAGCUUAAGGCUCCCGAGCUAUAUAGGGACAAUAUACCAGAAGCGACCGUAUUACUCAAUACUUGAAACGCUAAUUUAACCUUCAUUUUUUGGAAGGUAUUUGGAUAAAUAUGAGCAACGGUUAAUUUAUGCGCACACAGAUAACUCGACUUAGAGUCGGUUUCAUAAAAAUGAACAAUAUCCGACCAGCUUACCCGACAAUUUUUAAAGAAAACCUAACAAAUUAGCGAAAAUCUGAAAAUUGGUGCCCUGGGGGGUUACUUUGUAAGGCGUUGCACAAGUGAAAACGCUCGUUAAUGAAAAAAAGCAACUCUGCAAGGCGACAAGCGCAUUGGAAAUUGCGUUUUGCGCAUUUAUUUUUACCCCUUCGCAUUGGAAGCAGUAAACGAGUGUCAAAUCUGUGAGUUUAACGAAUUUUUGAUUCGAUAUCAAACUGGCAAGCGCAACGGACAAAAAAUGAACAUUCUAAAAAUAAGCAAACAAACCCAACACAAUUCGAAAUUUUAAUUAAUUAUAUGGAAACACAUUCUGAACUUUCCAAAGGACAACUGAAAACUGUGGACGCGAAAAAUGCUGCAAAUAAUUUAUGGAAAGAGUUGGUAUGUGAUCUUAAUGCUGCGGGGCCACCAUCGCUCGAUGUUUUAAAAUGGAAAAAGGUUUGGUCGGAUUAUAAAACCCAUUUGAAAGCAAAAAUGCGGCGGAACAAACUAAGUAUCUCUGGAUCUGGUAGUGGUCCACAGACAUUGCUCCGUAACAUCGUUGGGGGAGCAGGUUAGUGAGCUUCUGGCAAUGGAAAUAUCCGUCAGUGGAAUAAGCGGCACCUCAGAAUUUGGUGCAUCACAGUUAACUCAACCAAGUGGGUCAGACAUCACAACCGACGAAUAAUGAAAACCUAAAGGUGAUUUCAAAAUGUAUGAAAAAAACAUAAAAUCGGUAAAAGAAAAUAUAAAUUGGCUGUUGAAAAAUUCGAACACAAAAAGGGAUUGAUUUGAACAAAACAAAACUAAAAUUUUAACGGCCCGACCAAUAAAAAUGUUGUAUUUUAGUUAUUGACAUUGAAGUCUGUUACUUAUUUUUUAAUAUGUACUUACUGAUAAUUAUUUAUUUAUUAUAUUAAUAAUUUAAAUGAAUUGUUUUGAUUUGAAGACGUAUUUUGUGUUGAUGUGAUAGUUUUUACUUUUUAUUACAUAUAUAAUACUUACAUAUAUAGAUAUGUAUGUACUAUAUACACAUGUGCAAUAGACUAAAGCUUUAUAUCAUUAAUGUGAAUUUUAAUCAAAUAAAUGUGAAAAUGUGAAAAAUUGAAAAGUUUACUUUAUUAAAUAGUGUUAUAUGUUUUUAGAGUAAUCAUACUGUUUUUUAUUUGAUCCCUUAAAAGUUUAGCAAUAUUGGUUUCUUUCGCAUUUCCUUUGGUUUCAAUAUAACUAGCAUCGACUUCUUCAACUUCUACGAGGUAUGACAAUUAAGUAAUGAGACUGAUUCCAUAAAUAACACUUUAAUAUCCCUCAAACCAACGCAAAUAAAAAGAAUAAGCUGGAUAGACUUUUACUCAUUCAAUAUGGUCCGUGAAAACAAUUUUAACUUGUUGCUACGCUCAGGGACAGUAAUAUUUCAUUUCUUAGAGGAUAUGUUUGUAAAGAGGGAGAGCGAGCAUAUGCGCUACAUUGCUAUAAAUCAGAGUAAGCUGCGUCCUUGGAGCUACGUACACCUCCAAGAAGCCUUUACCGAAAAAUGCAACGUCAACCCCAGUGACUUGAGGGUUGGAGGAUAUGAGGGAGAGCGAGCAUAUGCGCUACAUUGCUAUAAAUCAGAGUAAGCUGCAUCCUUGGAGCUACGUACACCUCCAAGAAGCCAUUACCGAAAAAUGCAACGUCAACCCCAGUGACUUGGGUCACAUGACGGUACUCCCGCCAUCGUUCUUAAACAGUUCCCGUUAUUCAAGACGCACUGGACUGGACUUAUCAAUUACGAUUACAUGUACCCCAGCCGCGCUCUCUUGAAAGAUACGCAAAUGAACAAAAAUGGUUUCCCAUUGUAGGCGCGUAGAGAGCCCCAGGAAGGAACAGCAGAAACCGCGUCCAUGGACAAUAACUGGGUGGUUCCAUAUUUGGUAGAGGAUCAAAAUGUAUACUCCCCUUAUUCUACGCCGUUUUUUCUAACGCUUGUUUUCUAUUUCUACUGCUCUACUUAUCCUACCCCGUUCAUAUUUACGCUUUAUGUUUAAGCUAAUUUUAAAGUUUUGGUAAAGAUGGAUAAACGUCAAAAAUCUCAAUAUUACAGUAUAUAUUUUUAAUUAUGUGUAUUCCUCUUUAAGUUCGAAUAGCAAUCACCCGUCUGAAGAAUAACAAGGCGGCGGGGGCCGAUGGAUUUCCGGCCGAGCUAUUCAAACACAGUGGCGAAGAAUUGAUAAGGGGCAUGCAAUAGCUUCUUUGUAAAAUAUGGUCGGACGAAAGCAAAAAUGGAGACCCCACAAUCUGCGCCAACUACUGUGGGAUAAGCGUCUAUCGAGGGUAUUGUGAAGAAUUAAAGGCCACCGGCAACAAGCUGAUUCGACCUUAUCAGUAUGACUUUAGACCUGGAAAAUCAACAACGGAACAGAGAUUAACCAUGCCGCAAAUCGUGGAAAAGAGCCGUGAGAAGAAAAUCGGCAUACACCACCUCCUCGUCGAUUUCAAACCUGCUUUUCGCAGCACGAAAAGGAGCCUUUAUGCCGCGAUAUCUGAAUUUGGUAUACCCGCAAAACUAAGGACCUCUCCAAGCCGUUCGAUACCAAAUGAGGGUUCAGACAAGGUGAUUCUCUUUUGUGGGACUUCUUCAACCUUCUUCUGUAGAAAAUAAUUCGAGCUGCUGAACUAAACCGAGAAGGUACAAUCUUUUAUAAGACUGCCAAGCUGCUGGCGAGUGCCGAUGAUAUUGAUAUAGUUCAGGAGGAGGAAGACUUCCACUCCGUUGGAAGGAGCAAGUGGAGAAGGACCUGGCUUCGCUUGAAUUAACCAAUUGGCGCCACGUAGCGAAAAGAAGAAACGACCAGCGCGCUGUCGUUAACUCGGCUAUAAUCGCGUAAGCGGUGUCUACGCCAAUUAGGAAGAAGAUAUGUACAUAUUUGCAAUUCUGUAAAAAUUGUUAAUUUUUUAUUAGUAAGGAAAAAUAAAAAUAAAUUAAAAUAUUUAGCAUUUUAAAAAUAUUUUUAAUUAGGAAAGGGAAAUUGCAACCUUGCAUCAGCUCUCGAUUGCGGAUAUUAGAGCAGGUCAGAUAUACUUUUUUAUAUGACACUGCAGAAUAAGCG